rnacentral:rRNA from 1 species
AUACAUGCAAGUCGAGCGAAUGGAUUAAGAGCUUGCUCUUAUGAAGUUAGCGGCGGACGGGUGAGUAACACGUGGGUAACCUGCCCAUAAGACUGGGAUAACUCCGGGAAACCGGGGCUAAUACCGGAUAACAUUUUGAACCGCAUGGUUCGAAAUUGAAAGGCGGCUUCGGCUGUCACUUAUGGAUGGACCCGCGUCGCAUUAGCUAGUUGGUGAGGUAACGGCUCACCAAGGCAACGAUGCGUAGCCGACCUGAGAGGGUGAUCGGCCACACUGGGACUGAGACACGGCCCAGACUCCUACGGGAGGCAGCAGUAGGGAAUCUUCCGCAAUGGACGAAAGUCUGACGGAGCAACGCCGCGUGAGUGAUGAAGGCUUUCGGGUCGUAAAACUCUGUUGUUAGGGAAGAACAAGUGCUAGUUGAAUAAGCUGGCACCUUGACGGUACCUAACCAGAAAGCCACGGCUAACUACGUGCCAGCAGCCGCGGUAAUACGUAGGUGGCAAGCGUUAUCCGGAAUUAUUGGGCGUAAAGCGCGCGCAGGUGGUUUCUUAAGUCUGAUGUGAAAGCCCACGGCUCAACCGUGGAGGGUCUAUUGGAAACUGGGAGACUUGAGUGCAGAAGAGGAAAGUGGAAUUCCAUGUGUAGCGGUGAAAUGCGUAGAGAUAUGGAGGAACACCAGUGGCGAAGGCGACUUUCUGGUCUGUAACUG